GAUGAACGCUGGCGGCGUGCCUAAUACAUGCAAGUCGAGAGAAGUGGGGACGGGUGAGUAAUCCGUGGCUAACUUCCUAUAAGCUUGGGAUAAUUUCGGGAAACAGGAGUUAAACCGGAUAUUUAAAGAUUGAUCUUCGGUGUAUUAGUUAGUUGGUAAGGACACGGCUGACCAAGGCAACGAUGCAUAGCCGGCCUGAGAGGGUGAUCGGCCACACUGGAACUGAGACACGGUCCAGACUCCUACGGGAGGCAGCAGUAGGGAAUCUUCCGCAAUGGGCGAAAGCCUGACGGAGCAACGCCGCGUGAGUGAUGAAGGUCUUCGGAUCGUAAAACUCUGUUAUUAGGGAAGCGGUACCUAAUCAGAAAGCCACGGCUAACUACGUGCCAGCAGCCGCGGUAAUAC
rnacentral:rRNA from 1 species